rnacentral:rRNA from 1 species
CGGGUGGUAAUGCCGGAUGUUCCACAUGAUCGCAUGUGAUUGUGGGAAAGAUUCUAUCGGCGUGGGAUGGGGUCGCGUCCUAUCAGCUUGUUGGUGAGGUAACGGCUCACCAAGGCUUCGACGGGUAGCCGGCCUGAGAGGGCGACCGGCCACAUUGGGACUGAGAUACGGCCCAGACUCCUACGGGAGGCAGCAGUGGGGAAUAUUGCACAAUGGGCGCAAGCCUGAUGCAGCGACGCCGCGUGAGGGAUGGAGGCCUUCGGGUUGUAAACCUCUUUUGUUUGGGAGCAAGCCUUCGGGUGAGUGUACCUUUCGAAUAAGCGCCGGCUAACUACGUGCCAGCAGCCGCGGUAAUACGUAGGGCGCAAGCGUUAUCCGGAUUUAUUGGGCGUAAAGGGCUCGUAGGCGGCUCGUCGCGUCCGGUGUGAAAGUCCAUCGCUUAACGGUGGAUCUGCGCCGGGUACGGGCGGGCUGGAGUGCGGUAGGGGAGACUGGAAUUCCCGGUGUAACGGUGGAAUG